UGGCUUCUUCCACAUUUAUGGACUAGUUCUAUUCUGAAAAGAGAAAUAUUUUCCUCAUGAACUGGGGGUGAACUAUAAUAGUUCUACCUAAAGCGCAUGAAAAACAUUUAGUUGUCACCAAUAACGAUGUCAAAUGAUGUGCUUUCUCCACCCACCCCAGCCUCACAUCGCCAUAAACACAUGGCUUUUUAUGGAUUCAAUGUGGUAUAAUAAAUUACAAUGCUCAGAGUCAGGAUCAAUAUCAUAAUCCACUCAUGGAUUUACAUCUGCUGGGUACACAGGACCAAUUUGAAGCAAUCACGGAAGACAGGGGACUCAGCCCAAUAUCCAUCCUGUGAUAACUGAACCUUUGCAUACAUAGAUUAAUGAUAUCAGCUUGAGGAGAGUCCAUAGCUGUGGAACACUCUUCACAGAAUGACCCUGGCUUAGAACUGCUUAUGAGACACACCCAGAAUCAAAGGCAUUGUUAUGAGGCACCUGUCCCUGAAGGAUAUUCUGUAACCCAUGCAGAACCCUGUGGUACAAAACAGAAAUGUACAAAAAAAACGAUUCAUAAGAAAAAUUAUCUCUACCCAGUGAGGAAAUAAUCUUUUCAAUGAUAAGAAUUUAAACAGUUUUGAUAAAGUCUGAUUUAUCUAUUUUUUUCUCUCUUGGUUCAUGGUUUCCAUAUUUUAUCUAUGAAAUAUUUGCCCCCUAAGUAAAAACAAAAUGCUCCAGAGAGACUCCAUCAACUCAGUCCUGACAUCACAUGUCAGAAAAGAGAAUAUGGGAUCUGUGAAACUAUACUCUGUGUUUUGGUACUAUUCCUGGUUUGAUUGCUCAUAUUCUUGAUGUUAUUAAUUAAGCUUGAUACUGUAUUAGAUUUCUGAUCAAUAUGAGUCUGAAUUGACAACACAAUUCUUUGUGCUCACUAAGUGUAAAAUUUUUGCCAAGUGAUUUUUCAGCUUGUAGAGAUGUUAGUAUAAAGUUAAAUCAACUUUACAUUGCUGAGAAAAAAACUAUACUUGGUCAUAGCAUAUUAUAAUUUUUAUAUAUUAUUGGGUUUAAUCCGU